GCCUAACACAUGCAAGUCGAGCGGUAACACAAGGGAGCUUGCUCCUGAGGUGACGAGCGGCGGACGGGUGAGUAAUGCCUAGGGAUCUGCCCAGUCGAGGGGGAUAACAGUUGGAAACGACUGCUAAUACCGCAUACGCCCUACGGGGGAAAGGAGGGGACCUUCGGGCCUUCCGCGAUUGGAUGAACCUAGGUGGGAUUAGCUAGUUGGUGAGGUAAUGGCUCACCAAGGCGACGAUCCCUAGCUGUUCUGAGAGGAUGAUCAGCCACACUGGGACUGAGACACGGCCCAGACUCCUACGGGAGGCAGCAGUGGGGAAUAUUGCACAAUGGGGGAAACCCUGAUGCAGCCAUGCCGCGUGUGUGAAGAAGGCCUUCGGGUUGUAAAGCACUUUCAGUAGGGAGGAAAGGUGGUGUGUUAAUAGACUAUUACUGUGACGUUACCUACAGAAGAAGGACCGGCUAACUCCGUGCCAGCAGCCGCGGUAAUACGGAGGGUCCGAGCGUUAAUCGGAAUUACUGGGCGUAAAGCGUGCGCAGGCGGUUUGUUAAGCCAGAUGUGAAAUCCCCGGGCUCAACCUGGGAAUUGCAUUUGGAACUGGCGAACUAGAGUCUUGUA
rnacentral:rRNA from 1 species